rnacentral:rRNA from 1 species
GACGAACGCUGGCGGCGUGCUUAACACAUGCAAGUCGAACGGAAAGGCCCUGCUUUUGUGGGGUGCUCGAGUGGCGAACGGGUGAGUAACACGUGAGUAACCUGCCCUUGACUUUGGGAUAACUUCAGGAAACUGGGGAUAAUACCGGAUAGGAGCUCCUGCUGCAUGGUGGGGGUUGGAAAGUUUCGGCGGUUGGGGCUGGGCUCGCGGCUGAUCAGUUUGGUGGGGGGGUAGUGGCUUACCAAGGCUUUGCCGGGUGGCCGGCCUGCGAGGGGGACCGGCCAAAUUGGGACUGAGAUACGGGCCAGACUCCUACGGGAGGCAGGAGGGGGGAAUAUUGCACAAUGGGCGGAAGCGUGAUGUAGCAACGCCGUGUGCGGGAUGACGGCCUUCGGGUUGUAAACCGCUUUCGCCUGUGACGAAGCGUGAGUGACGGUAAUGGGUAAAGAAGCACCGGCUAACUACGUG